GACGAACGCUGGCGGCGUGCCUAAUACAUGCAAGUCGAACGCAGUGGGGACGGGUGAGUAACAAGUGGGUAACCUCCCAACAGAGGGGAUAACACUUGGAAACAGAUGCUAAAACGAUACUGAUGGAUGGACCCGCGGUGCAUGAGCUAUCGGGGGAGGUAACGGCUCACCAAGGCCACGAUGCAUAGCCGACCUGAGAGGUUGAUCGCCCACACUGGGACUGAGACACGGCCCAGACUCCUCCGGGAGGCAGCAGUAGGGAAUCUUCUGCAAUGGACGAAAGUCUGACCGAGCAACGCCGCGUGAGUGAAGAAGGUUUUCGGAUCGUAAAACUCUGUUGUUAGAGAAGCGGUAGCUAACCAGAAAGCCACGGCUAACUCCGUGCCAGCAGCCGCGGUAAUAC
rnacentral:rRNA from 1 species